rnacentral:rRNA from 1 species
ACCSSSGGGCAUGCUCWGUAGCGGCGAGUGAGCGGCAAAAGCUCAAAUUUGAAAUCUGGCGUCUUUGGCGUCCGAGUUGUAAUUUGAAGAAGGUAUCUUUGGGCCCGGCUCUUGUCUAUGUUCCUUGGAACAGGACGUCACAGAGGGUGAGAAUCCCGUGCGAUGAGAUGACCCGGGUCUGUGUAAAGUUCCUUCGACGAGUCGAGUUGUUUGGGAAUGCAGCUCUAAGUGGGUGGUAAAUUCCAUCUAAAGCUAAAUAUUGGCGAGAGACCGAUAGCGAACAAGUACAGUGAUGGAAAGAUGAAAAGAACUUUGAAAAGAGAGUGAAAAAGUACGUGAAAUUGUUGAAAGGGAAGGGCUUGAGAUCAGACUUGGUAUUUUGCAUGCUGCUCUCUCGGGGGCGGCCGCUGCGGUUUACCGGGCCAGCAUCGGUUUGGAGCGGCAGGAUAAUGGCGGAGGAAUGUGGCACGGCUUCUGCUGUGUGUUAUAGCCUCUGACGAUACUGCCAGCCUAGACCGAGGACUGCGGUUUUUACCUAGGAUGUUGGCAUAAUGAUCUUAAGUCGCCCGUCUUGAAACACRGACCA